rnacentral:tRNA from 1 species
GAGAAUUGAAUUAUCUAAAAGAAGCUGCUAACUAUCUUUUAAGGCAGUUUAACUCUGUCUAAUUCUCU